CCUACGGGAGGCAGCAGUGGGGAAUAUUGGGCAAUGGGCGCAAGCCUGACCCAGCAACGCCGCGUGAAGGAAGAAGGCUUUCGGGUUGUAAACCUCUUUUCUCAGGGACGAAGCAAGUGACGUUACCUGAGGAAUAAGCCACGCCUAACUACAUGCCAGCAGCCGCGGUAAUACGGAGGUGGCAAGCGUUAUCCGGAUUUACGGGGUGUAAAGGGUGUGUAGGCGGGACUGCAAGUCAGAUGUGAAAACCAGGGGCUCAACCUGGGGCCUGCAUUUGAAACUGUAGUUCUUGAGUACUGGAGAGGCAGACGGAAUUCCUAGUGUAGCGGUGAAAUGCGUAGAUAUUAGGAGGAACACCAGUGGCGAAGGCGGUCUGCUGGACAGCAACUGACGCUGAGGCGCGAAAGCGUGGGGAGCAAACAGGAUUAGAUACCCCAGUAGUC
rnacentral:rRNA from 1 species